UUGAAACACUGCUUCCCAUGUGAUCAUUGAAGUUAAGCAACAUUGAAUGUAGUUAGUACUUAGAUGGGUGACCAUUUUGGAAUACCAGGUGUUAUA